rnacentral:rRNA from 1 species
UACCAGCACCCCGAGUGGUCGGGACGAUUAUUGGGCCUAAAGCAUCCGUAGCCGGUCCUGCAAGUCUUCCGUGAAAGCCCCCGGCUCAACUGGGGAGGGUCACGCGAUACUGAUCGACUCGAAGGCAGGAGAGGGAAGUGGAAUUCCCGGUGUAGUGGUGAAAUGCGUAGAUAUCGGGAGGAACACCAGUGGCGAAGGCGACUUCCUGGCCUGUUCUUGACGCUGAGGCGCGAAAGCUAGGGGAGCAAACGGG